rnacentral:rRNA from 1 species
AAUUUUGGACAAUGGGGGAAACCCUGAUCCAGCCAUGCCGCGUGUGUGAAGAAGGUCUUCGGAUUGUAAAGCACUUUAAGUUGGGAGGAAGGGUUGUAGGUUAAUACCCUGCAAUUUUGACGUUACCAACAGAUUAAGCACCGGCUAACUUAGUGCCAGCAGCCGCUGUAAUACGAAGGGUGCAAGCCUUAAUCGGAAUUACUGGGCGUAAAUCGCGCGUAGGUUGUUCGUUAAGUUGGAAGUGAAAGCCCCGGGCUUAACCUGGGAAUUGCUUUCAAAACUGACGAGCUAGAGUACGGUAGAGGGUAGUGGAAUUUCCUGUGUAGCGGUGAAAUGCGUAGAUAUAGGAAGGAACAUCAGUGGCGAAGGCGACUACCUGGACUGAUACUGACACUGAGGUGCGAAAGCGUGGGGAGCAAACAGG